UGCUGACACCCCAAGAGAUGAGCUGCUGCCUUUUGCUGUGAAUCACAGCAGCCCCAGAUGUGCCAGGAGGGGAAGAGUCUGGCUGAGGACCAGGAGGUGUGAGAACAGCAGAGGCAGCAGAUAUCGUGAUCCAACACCAGGCUGCUGGACCAAGAUAAAAGAAAAAGCGUCUGUUUCCUUCAGUAUCUAUUCACCUGAAUUGGGUAGCAGGAUGCCAUGGUGGCUCAGGAGGGAAAGAAGAGGCCACUGUGCCUGCCAUGUGCUGUUUGGCACUGCAGCAAGGAGCAGGGCAGAGGUUGCAGGAAUGCUGGAUGGCUGCACCCUGAAAAGAUGAGGAAAAGAUGAGGAAGGAGUCGUGUGGAGUCAGUGACUCACACAGUUAAGGUUUGGUGUGGCUGAAUGGCAAGAUAACAACAUGAUUUUACCAUAAAAGGGGCAAAUAUGUAAUUACUGUGCUAUAUGAGAUUCAAUUAAAUGGCAACAUCAAUUAAACAGCUUCCAGAGCUUUUGUUUGGAAGCUUGCAAGGCUUUAUUUCCUGCAAAAGCUGUUCAUUGAGUGUCAACAAUUAUUUCCCCUGCAAAUGA